CUCAGGACGAACGCUGGCGGCGUGCUUAACACAUGCAAGUCGAACGAUGAUGCCCAGCUUGCUGGGCGGAUUAGUGGCGAACGGGUGAGUAAUACGUGAGUAACCUGCCCUUGACUCUGGGAUAAGCCUGGGAAACUGGGUCUAAUACUGGAUACUACCUCUUGCCGCAUGGUGGGUGGUGGAAAGGGUUUUACUGGUUUUGGAUGGGCUCACGGCCUAUCAGCUUGUUGGUGGGGUAAUGGCUCACCAAGGCGACGACGGGUAGCCGGCCUGAGAGGGUGACCGGCCACACUGGGACUGAGACACGGCCCAGACUCCUACGGGAGGCAGCAGUGGGGAAUAUUGCACAAUGGGCGGAAGCCUGAUGUAGCGACGCCGCGUGAGGGAUGACGGCCUUCGGGUUGUAAACCUCUUUCAGUAGGGAAGAAGCGAGAGUGACGGUACCUGCAGAAGAAGCGCCGGCUAACUACGUGCCAGCAGCCGCGGUAAUACGUAGGGCGCAAGCGUUGUCCGGAAUUAUUGGGCGUAAAGAGCUCGUAGGCGGUUUGUCGCGUCUGCUGUGAAAGCCCGGGGCUCAACCCCGGGUCUGCAGUGGGUACGGGCAGACUAGAGUGCAGUAGGGGAGACUGGAAUUCCUGGUGUAGCGGUGAAAUGCGCAGAUAUCAGGAGGAACACCGAUGGCGAAGGCAGGUCUCUGGGCUGUUACUGACGCUGAGGAGCGAAAGCAUGGGGAGCGAACAGGAUUAGAUACCCUGGUAGUCCAUGCCGUAAACGUUGGGCACUAGGUGUGGGGGACAUUCCACGUUUUCCGCGCCGUAGCUAACGCAUUAAGUGCCCCGCCUGGGGAGUACGGCCGCAAGGCUAAAACUCAAAGGAAUUGACGGGGGCCCGCACAAGCGGCGGAGCAUGCGGAUUAAUUCGAUGCAACGCGAAGAACCUUACCAAGGCUUGACAUUCACCGGACCGCCCCAGAGAUGGGGUUUCCCUUCGGGGCUGGUGGACAGGUGGUGCAUGGUUGUCGUCAGCUCGUGUCGUGAGAUGUUGGGUUAAGUCCCGCAACGAGCGCAACCCUCGUUCUAUGUUGCCAGCACGUGAUGGUGGGGACUCAUAGGAGACUGCCGGGGUCAACUCGGAGGAAGGUGGGGAUGACGUCAAAUCAUCAUGCCCCUUAUGUCUUGGGCUUCACGCAUGCUACAAUGGCCGGUACAAAGGGUUGCGAUACUGUGAGGUGGAGCUAAUCCCAAAAAGCCGGUCUCAGUUCGGAUUGAGGUCUGCAACUCGACCUCAUGAAGUCGGAGUCGCUAGUAAUCGCAGAUCAGCAACGCUGCGGUGAAUACGUUCCCGGGCCUUGUACACACCGCCCGUCAAGUCACGAAAGUUGGUAACACCCGAAGCCGGUG
rnacentral:rRNA from 1 species